rnacentral:lncRNA from 1 species
GAGUGGUACGAGUUUACAUGGUUACUUUUUUUAAUUUUUACCCAAUAAUAUGAUGAUGUGAUAUACAGUAGCGUGAUAUAUCACACAUCACUGAUAAGCUAAAUUUACCUAUCUAAUAUAUACAGGGGUUUUUGGACUUUUUUUUUCUUCCUGUUUGAGCUAUUAUUGACAUCAAAUCAAAACAUGCACAUGUAACCUCCUGCGGAAAGUCAAUAUG